CAGUCGCCGCGGGAACACGAAGGGUGCAAGCGUUACUCGGAAUUACUGGGCGUAAAGCGUGCGUAGGUGGUGGUUUAAGUCCGUUGUGAAAGCCCUGGGCUCAACCUGGGAAUUGCAGUGGAUACUGGAUCACUAGAGUGUGGUAGAGGAUAGUGGAAUUUCCGGUGUAGCAGUGAAAUGCGUAGAGAUCGGAAGGAACAUCUGUGGCGAAGGCGACUAUCUGGGCCAACACUGACACUGAGGCACGAAAGCGUGGGGAGCAAACAGGAUUAGAGACCCCCGUAGUCCCUGUCUCUUAUAC
rnacentral:rRNA from 1 species